rnacentral:rRNA from 1 species
AACUGCGAAUGGCUCAUUAAAUCAGUUAUCGUUUAUUUGAUAGUACCUUACUACAUGGAUACCUGUGGUAAUUCUAGAGCUAAUACAUGCUGAAAACCCCGACUUCGGAAGGGGUGUAUUUAUUAGAUAAAAAACCAACGCCCUUCGGGGCUCCUUGGUGAUUCAUAAUAACUUAACGAAUCGCAUGGCCUUGCGCCGGCGAUGGUUCAUUCAAAUUUCUGCCCUAUCAACUUUCGAUGGUAGGAUAGUGGCCUACCAUGGUGGCAACGGGUAACGGGGAAUUAGGGUUCGAUUCCGGAGAGGGAGCCUGAGAAACGGCUACCACAUCCAAGGAAGGCAGCAGGCGCGCAAAUUACCCAAUCCCGAUACGGGGAGGUAGUGACAAUAAAUACUGAUACAGGGCCCUUUUGGGUCUUGUAAUUGGAAUGAGUACAAUCUAAAUCCCUUAACGAGGAACAAUUGGAGGGCAAGUCUGGUGCCAGCAGCCGCGGUAAUUCCAGCUCCAAUAGCGUAUAUUAAAGUUGUUGCAGUUAAAAAGCUCGUAGUUGAACCUUGGGCCUGGCUGGCCGGUCCGCCUCACCGCGAGUACUGGUCCGGCUGGGCCUUUCCUUCUGGGGAACCCCAUGGCCUUCACUGGCCGUGGCGGGGAACCAGGACUUUUACUGUGAAAAAAUUAGAGUGUUCAAAGCAGGCCUUUGCUCGAAUACAUUAGCAUGGAAUAAUAGAAUAGGACGUGCGGUUCUAUUUUGUUGGUUUCUAGGACCGCCGUAAUGAUUAAUAGGGAUAGUCGGGGGCGUCAGUAUUCAGCUGUCAGAGGUGAAAUUCUUGGAUUUGCUGAAGACUAACUACUGCGAAAGCAUUCGCCAAGGAUGUUUUCAUUAAUCAGGGAACGAAAGUUAGGGGAUCGAAGACGAUCAGAUACCGUCGUAGUCUUAACCAUAAACUAUGCCGACUAGGGAUCGGACGGUGUUUCUAUGAUGACCCGUUCGGCACCUUACGAGAAAUCAAAGUUU